CGGCGGGGUGGUACGACCCAAGCCUUUAUAACCAGCCAUGUGGAGCGUUCGCGCCCUUUCGAUCUCUGCGUUCGGCGGAGGGAAGGACUUGCGCGUGACCUGCAGCGCGGCAUCGGGGCCCAGGCGGCCAUGGAGGCGGCACCAGGACCGGGGCCGGGACACGCCGGGGCUGCGGAGGCGCCUUCUCGCAGAAAGAUGUCUUGAAGUAAAGAAGCCUGCUCUUCCCAGGUGGAUGUGACACAGCAGGUUGCUCUUCUGGGAUGGCCCGAAUCUGAAGGUCUGUGCUGCCACGUGCUGAUGGUUACUGAUGUCCAUCCAUUGCUGUUACAGCUCUGUCACAGGCCUUGUGGAAGGCAGUGAGACAGCAGAGCAGGAGAGUCUCCUGGGUGGUGAUGCUGCAGACAGCUGCUCUGGGGAGGAAGGAGUCCAGCAAACCCCAGGAGCUUUGGGGAAUGGUGUUUGCAGACACAGCGUGGUUUUCUGUCUGAAGGUGCUGAGAAAUCACAAUGGUUACACUGUGCUGAUGACACAAACAUUAAAGUGAUCUCUUGCGAAAAAAAA